rnacentral:rRNA from 1 species
AACGAACGCUGGCGGCAUGCCUAACACAUGCAAGUCGAACGAAGUCUUCGGACUUAGCGGCGCACGGGUGCGUAACGCGUGGGAAUCUGCCCUUGGGUGCGGAAUAACUUCUCGAAAGGGAUGCUAAUACCGCAUAAUGUCGUAAGACCAAAGAUUUAUCGCCCAAGGAUGAGCCCGCGUAAGAUUAGCUAGUUGGUGGGGUAAAAGCCUACCAAGGCGACGAUCUUUAGCUGGUCUGAGAGGAUGAUCAGCCACACUGGGACUGAGACACGGCCCAGACUCCUACGGGAGGCAGCAGUGGGGAAUAUUGGACAAUGGGCGAAAGCCUGAUCCAGCAAUGCCGCGUGAGUGAUGAAGGCCCUAGGGUUGUAAAGCUCUUUUACCAGGGAUGAUAAUGACAGUACCUGGAGAAUAAGCUCCGGCUAACUCCGUGCCAGCAGCCGCGGUAAU